AUACGUAGGGUGCGAGCGUUGUCCGGAAUUACUGGGCGUAAAGAGCUCGUAGGUGGUUUGUCGCGUCGUCUGUGAAAUUCCGGGGCUUAACUCCGGGCGUGCAGGCGAUACGGGCAUAACUUGAGUACUGUAGGGGAGACUGGAAUUCCUGGUGUAGCGGUGAAAUGCGCAGAUAUCAGGAGGAACACCGGUGGCGAAGGCGGGUCUCUGGGCAGUAACGGACGCUGAGGAGCGAAAGCAUGGGUAGCGAACAGGAUUAGAUACCCUGGUAGUCCAUGCCGUAAACAGUGGGCGCUAGGUGUAGGGGUCUUCCACGACUUCUGUGCCGUAGCUAACGCAUUAAGCGCCCCGCCUGGGGAGUACGGCCGCAAGGCUAAAACUCAAAUGAAUUGACGGGG
rnacentral:rRNA from 1 species